GAUGAACGCUAGCUACAGGCUUAACACAUGCAAGUCGAGCGAGCGGCGGACGGGUGAGUAAUGUCUGGGAAACUGCCUGAUGGAGGGGGAUAACUACUGGACACGGUAGCUAAUACCGCAUACCAUCAGAUGUGCCCAGAUGGGAGUAGCUAGUAGGUGGGGUAACGGGUCACCUAGGCGACGAUCCCUAGCUGGUCUGAGAGGAUGACCCGCCACACUGGAACUGAGACACGGUCCAGACGCCUACGGGAGGCAGCAGUGGGGAAUAUUGCACAAUGGGCGCAAGCCUGAUGCAGCCAUGCCGCGUGUGUGAAGAAGGCCUUCGGGUUGUAAAGCACUUUCAGCGGGGAGGCGUUACCCGCAGAAGAAGCACCGGCUAACUCCGUGCCAGCAGCCGCGGUAAUUC
rnacentral:rRNA from 1 species